UGAGGAAUAUUGGGCAAUGCCCGCAAGGGUGACCCAGCAACGCCGCGUGGAGGAUGAAUGUCGUAAGAUUGUAAACUCCUGUUAGAGGGGAAGAAUAGUACCGGUUGGACCGGUAUAUGACUGUACCCUCAGAGAAAGCCCCGGCUAACUACGUGCCAGCAGCCGCGGUAAUACGUAGGGGGCAAGCGUUGUCCGGAUUUACUGGGUGUAAAGGGCGCGCAGGCGGGAUAAAAAGUCAGUGGUGAAAUCCUACAGCUUAACUGUAGAACUGCCUUUGAUACUUUUAUUCUUGAGUUCGGGAGAGAGAGACGGAAUUCCAGGUGUAGUGGUGAAAUACGUAGAUAUCUGGAGGAACACCAGUUGCGAAGGCGGUCUCUUGGUCCGACACUGACGCUGAGGCGCGAAAGCGUGGGGAGCAAACA
rnacentral:rRNA from 1 species